rnacentral:rRNA from 1 species
GAUGAACGCUGGCGGCGUGCCUAAUACAUGCAAGUCGAGCGAACGGACGAGAAGCUUGCUUCUCUGAUGUUAGCGGCGGACGGGUGAGUAACACGUGGAUAACCUACCUAUAAGACUGGGAUAACUUCGGGAAACCGGAGCUAAUACCGGAUAAUAUUUUGAACCGCAUGGUUCAAAAGUGAAAGACGGUCUUGCUGUCACUUAUAGAUGGAUCCGCGCUGCAUUAGCUAGUUGGUAAGGUAACGGCUUACCAAGGCAACGAUGCAUAGCCGACCUGAGAGGGUGAUCGGCCACACUGGAACUGAGACACGGUCCCGACGCCUACGGGAGGGAGCAGUAGGGAAUCUUCCGCAAAGGGCGAAAGCCUUACGGAACAACGCCGCGUGAGUGAUGAAGGUCUUCGGAUCGUAAAACUCUGUUAUUAGGGAAGAACAUAUGUGUAAGUAACUGUGCACAUCUUGACGGUACCUAAUCAGAAAGCCACGGCUAACUACGUG